UAUUUUAAUAUUUAAAUUAAUUAAAAAUUAAACAUAAAUAAAUAAUUAUACAACCCAACCCGUGUGAAUUGAAAAAGAGUUGGGUUGUAUAAUUAUUUAUUUAUGUUUAAUUUUUAAUUAAUUUAAAUAUUAAAAUAGUGAAUAUUAAAAAAGAGUUACCCAAAAAAAAAAAAAGAAUUGAAAAAGAGCCCCACUCCUAUCAAGCGCUCUCUUACUCUCUCCGUGUUUAAAAAAAAAAAAAAAAGUAUUUAUUCUUAUUUAUUCUUAUUUUUCUCUCUUUUAUUUAUUCUCCUCUUCUGCAUCUUUUCUUUCUGUUCUGGUUUUUUUUUUUUUCUUUUUCCUCAAUUGUGAGGAGAGAUCCAGUAACCAACUGGCUUCAUCGCCACCAUUUUUUUGUGGGUCUCCACCAAGUAGGGCAUCAUACCCUGUAAUUCAAGAUGAGCAAUUUGGCAACAGUAGCAAGAUGGCUCCAUUUUUUCCAGCACCGCCUUCUUCAUUGUCUGAGCGCAACUAAGGGUGUGUUCGAAUGAAAACGAACUACGCCGAUUCAACACAGAUCAAGCGAUUUCUAAACACCCCAUAACAUCAUCAGCAAGUAAGAAAGCUACCCAAAUAGGAGCAGUAUCAUAAUUGCUACGAAUUGGACUCAGAUGGCGAAGAGAGAUGGUUCUGGGUUAUGCUGGUGGGUGGAUCGUUCUGAGAAGAAAUCCAGGAUGGAGCACUGGGCACUGUGUUUCGUCGAUUGGAUCUGUGGUGGGGUUAAGCGAUAAGGAAGUCGGACUCGCGUGUUCAAAACAGUGAGGGUGUGUUUGGUGUGCCUCACUAGACAGGACUAUGCUAAAUAAGCCUUGAAACCUAUGUUUGGUAAAAUGGGGAACUAAGUUAAAUGGGAUUGUGGAGUCCAAUAGUUAAAAAACCUCCUCACUCGCUCUCCUUAUACAGAGAGGCUGAAAUGCAGUUCGCAAAAUAGCGAGCGUGCUAUUUUGACGCGCAAGUCCGACUAAUCCAAUCGCAAGACCAAAUCCAUAUCCAAGCUUCAAGAAUCAAUUUCUUCUUCUUCUUCACCUAGAAUUAUCACCACCAUAAACCCAGUCACACCAACCAACCACCACCAAUUCAAACUCAACCACUUGAAUCAACCACCACCAAAUCAAACCCAGUGGAACCACAACCCAAUUGAACCUUUCGAAAAAUUACCAACCAUUGAUCGUGGCUCAGUGAAACCAAAUGGAGAUUUGUGACUUCGAAGAAGAUGAGGAUCUGUGACUUCAAAGGGAACAAGAGACCUUGGUUGCCAAUCACAAGUUUAAUCAUGGCCUCGAUGUUUUUGAAGAAACUCCUGCCUUCCUUAGAGCCAUUUUAGAUGUUGAUGCUCAAGGUCCUGCCAGACCUCCCCUUGUCAUAUUUAAUUGUUUUUGUUUUGGGGCGUUUACCCCCUCUGUAACGACAACAACAACAAAAAAAGGAAGGGGGGCGGGGGGAAGAAGGGGGAAGAAUAGAGAGAAAAUGAGAGGGAAGCAGAGAAAGGUUUGGGAGGGGAAUAUAAAAAAUAAAAAAAAAAGGGAUAC